rnacentral:rRNA from 1 species
ACGAACGCUGGCGGCGUGCCUAAUACAUGCAAGUUGAGCGCUGAAGGUUGGUACUUGUACCAACUGGAUGAGCAGCGAACGGGUGAGUAACGCGUGGGGAAUCUGCCUUUGAGCGGGGGACAACAUUUGGAAACGAAUGCUAAUACCGCAUAAAAACUUUAAACACAAGUUUUAAGUUUGAAAGAUGCAAUUGCAUCACUCAAAGAUGAUCCCGCGUUGUAUUAGCUAGUUGGUGAGGUAAAGGCUCACCAAGGCGAUGAUACAUAGCCGACCUGAGAGGGUGAUCGGCCACAUUGGGACUGAGACAUGGCCCAAACUCCUACGGGAGGCAGCAGUAGGGAAUCUUCGGCAAUGGACGAAAGUCUGACCGAGCAACGCCGCGUGAGUGAAGAAGGGUUUCGGAUCGUAAAACUCUGUUGGUAGAGAAGAACGUUGGUGAGAGUGGAAAGCUCAUCAAGUGACGGUAACUACCCAGAAAGGGACGGCUAACUACGUG